rnacentral:rRNA from 1 species
GCCUACGGGAGGCAGCAGUGGGGAAUAUUGGGCAAUGGGCGCAAGCCUGACCCAGCAACGCCGCGUGAAGGAAGAAGGCCCUCGGGUUGUAAACUUCUUUUAUUCGGGACGAAACAAAUGACGGUACCGAAUGAAUAAGCCACGGCUAACUACGUGCCAGCAGCCGCGGUAAUACGUAGGUGGCAAGCGUUAUCCGGAUUUAUUGGGUGUAAAGGGCGUGUAGGCGGGAGCGCAAGUCAGAUGUGUAAACUCAGGGCUCAACCCUGAGCCUGCAUUUGAAACUGUGUUUCUUGAGUGCUGGAGAG